rnacentral:rRNA from 1 species
CCUUGACAUACUAAGAACUUUCCAGAGAUGGAUUGGUGCCUUCGGGAACUUAGAUACAGGUGCUGCAUGGCUGUCGUCAGCUCGUGUCGUGAGAUGUUGGGUUAAGUCCCGCAACGAGCGCAACCCUUUUUCCUUAUUUGCCAGCGGGUCAUGCCGGGAACUUUAAGGAUACUGCCAGUGACAAACUGGAGGAAGGCGGGGACGACGUCAAGUCAUCAUGGCCCUUACGGCCAGGGCUACACACGUGCUACAAUGGUCGGUACAAAGGGUUGCUACCUCGCGAGAGGAUGCUAAUCUCAAAAAGCCGAUCGUAGUCCGGAUCGCAGUCUGCAACUCGACUGCGUGAAGUCGGAAUCGCUAGUAAUCGCGGAUCAGAAUGCCGCGGUGAAUACGUUCCCGGGCCUUGUACACACCGCCCGUCACACCAUGGGAGUUUGUUGCACCAGAAGUAGGUAGUCUAACCGCAAGGAGGACGCUUACCACGGUGUGGCCGAUGACUGGGGUGAAGUCGUAACAAGGUAAGCGUAGAUGA